GUGGAUUAGAUACUCUGGUAGUCCACGCCGUAAACGAUGAAUGCUAGCCGUUGUCAGGCUUGCCUGUCAGUGGCGCAGCUAACGCAUUAAGCAUUCCGCCUGGGGAGUACGGUCGCAAGAUUAAAACUCAAAGGAAUUGACGGGGGCCCGCACAAGCGGUGGAGCAUGUGGUUCAAUUCGAAGCAACGCGAAGAACCUUACCAGCCCUUGACAUGUCCUCUAUGGAUUCCAGAGACGGAGUCCUUCACUUCGGGUGGGAGGAACACAGGUGCUGCACGGCCGUCGACAGCU
rnacentral:rRNA from 1 species